ensembl:lncRNA
CCGGCCUCUGUUCGAGGCAUUUCUUGGGGUAGGUCUUGAAGGAGAGACUGUAGGGUGCCCUGUGACAGGUCUUUUGGCUGGACUUGUGGUAGAGCUUGAGGUGGAGACUUUGGUGGGUCUUGUGGUUGGACUUGUGGUAGAGCUUGAGGUGGAGCCUGUGGUGGAGUCUGUGGUGGGGGUUGAAGUGGAGCUUGUCAUAGAGCUUGAGGUGGAGCCUGUGGUGAAGUCUGUGGUGGGGGUUGAAGUGGAGCUUGUGGUGGAGCUUGAGGUGGAGCCUGUGGUGGGUGUUGAAGUGGAGCUUGUGGUGGAGCUUGAGGUGGAGCCUGUGGUAGGGGUUGAAGUGGAGCUUGUGGUGGAGCCUGAGGUUGGUCUUGUGGUGGAGCCUGUGGUUGGUCUUGUGGUGGAGCCUGUGGUUGAGCCUGUGGUUGGUCUUGUGGUGGAGCCUGUGGUUGGUCUUGUGGUGGAGCCUGUGGUGGAGCCUGUGGUUGGUCUUGUGGUGGAGCCUGUGGUGGGUUUUGAAGUGGAAAAUGUGGUGGGUCUUAUUGUGGGACUUGAUGUAGACUUUGAGGUGGUACUUGAGGUGGAGCUGGUGGCCCUUGAAGU